ACGCACGCUGGCGGCGUGCUUCACACAUGCAAGUCGAACGGAAAGGCCCUGCUUUUGUGGGGUGCUCGCGUGGCGAACGGGUGAGUAACACGUGAGUAACCUGCCCUUGACUUUGGGAUAACUUCAGGAAACUGGGGCUAAUACCGGAUAGGAGCUCCUGCUGCAUGGUGGGGGUUGGAAAGUUUCGGCGGUUGGGGAUGGACUCGCGGCUUAUCAGCUUGUUGGUGGGGUAGUGGCUUACCAAGGCUUUGACGGGUAGCCGGCCUGAGAGGGUGACCGGCCACAUUGGGACUGAGAUACGGCCCAGACUCCUACGGGAGGCAGCAGUGGGGAAUAUUGCACAAUGGGCGGAAGCCUGAUGCAGCAACGCCGCGUGCGGGAUGACGGCCUUCGGGUUGUAAACCGCUUUCGCCUGUGACGAAGCGUGAGUGACGGUAAUGGGUAAAGAAGCACCGGCUAACUACGUG
rnacentral:rRNA from 1 species